rnacentral:rRNA from 1 species
GAUGAACGCUGGCGGCGUGCCUAAUACAUGCAAGUCGAGCGAACAGACGAGGAGCUUGCUCCUCUGACGUUAGCGGCGGACGGGUGAGUAACACGUGGAUAACCUACCUAUAAGACUGGGAUAACUUCGGGAAACCGGAGCUAAUACCGGAUAAUAUAUUGAACCGCAUGGUUCAAUAGUGAAAGACGGUUUUGCUGUCACUUAUAGAUGGAUCCGCGCCGCAUUAGCUAGUUGGUAAGGUAACGGCUUACCAAGGCAACGAUGCGUAGCCGACCUGAGAGGGUGACCGGCCACACUGGACCUGAGACACGGUCCAGCCUCCUACGGGAGGCAGCAGUAGGGAAUCUUCCGCAAGGGGCGAAAGCCUGCCGGAGAAACGCCGCGUGAGUGAUGAAGGUCUUCGGAUCGUAAACCUCUGUUAUUAGGGAAGACCAAAUGUGAAGUAACUAUGCACGUCUUGACGGUACCUAAUCAGAAAGCCACGGCUAACUACGUG